UGCAGUCGAGCGGACAGAAGGGAGCUUGCUCCCGGAUGUUAGCGGCGGACGGGUGAGUAACACGUGGGUAACCUGCCUGUAAGACUGGGAUAACUCCGGGAAACCGGAGCUAAUACCGGAUAGUUCCUUGAACCGCAUGGUUCAAGGAUGAAAGACGGUUUCGGCUGUCACUUACAGAUGGACCCGCGGCGCAUUAGCUAGUUGGUGGGGUAAUGGCUCACCAAGGCGACGAUGCGUAGCCGACCUGAGAGGGUGAUCGGCCACACUGGGACUGAGACACGGCCCAGACUCCUACGGGAGGCAGCAGUAGGGAAUCUUCCGCAAUGGACGAAAGUCUGACGGAGCAACGCCGCGUGAGUGAUGAAGGUUUUCGGAUCGUAAAGCUCUGUUGUUAGGGAAGAACAAGUGCGAGAGUAACUGCUCGCACCUUGACGGUACCUAACCAGAAAGCCACGGCUAACUACGUGCCAGCAGCCGCGGUAAUACGUAGGUGGCAAGCGUUGUCCGGAAUUAUUGGGCGUAAAGGGCUCGCAGGCGGUUUCUUAAGUCUGAUGUGAAAGCCCCCGGCUCAACCGGGGAGGGUCAUUGGAAACUGGGAAACUUGAGUGCAGAAGAGGAGAGUGGAAUUCCACGUGUAGCGGUGAAAUGCGUAGAGAUGUGGAGGAACACCAGUGGCGAAGGCGACUCUCUGGUCUGUAACUGACGCUGAGGAGCGAAAGCGUGGGGAGCGAACAGGAUUAGAUACCCUGGUAGUCCACGCCGUAAACGAUGAGUGCUAAGUGUUAGGGGGUUUCCGCCCCUUAGUGCUGCAGCUAACGCAUUAAGCACUCCGCCUGGGGAGUACGGUCGCAAGACUGAAACUCAAAGGAAUUGACGGGGGCCCGCACAAGCGGUGGAGCAUGUGGUUUAAUUCGAAGCAACGCGAAGAACCUUACCAGGUCUUGACAUCCUCUGACAACCCUAGAGAUAGGGCUUUCCCUUCGGGGACAGAGUGACAGGUGGUGCAUGGUUGUCGUCAGCUCGUGUCGUGAGAUGUUGGGUUAAGUCCCGCAACGAGCGCAACCCUUGAUCUUAGUUGCCAGCAUUUAGUUGGGCACUCUAAGGUGACUGCCGGUGACAAACCGGAGGAAGGUGGGGAUGACGUCAAAUCAUCAUGCCCCUUAUGACCU
rnacentral:rRNA from 1 species